GACGAACGCUGGCGGCGUGCUUAACACAUGCAAGUCGAACGGAAAGGCCCUGCUUUUGUGGGGUGCUCGAGUGGCGAACGGGUGAGUAACACGUGAGUAACCUGCCCUUGACUUUGGGAUAACUUCAGGAAACUGGGGCUAAUACCGGAUAGGAGCUCCUGCUGCAUGGUGGGGGUUGGAAAGUUUCGGCGGUUGGGGAUGGACUCGCGGCUUAUCAGCUUGUUGGUGGGGUAGUGGCUUACCAAGGCUUUGACGGGUAGCCGGCCUGAGAGGGUGACUGGCCACAUUGGGACUGAGAUACGGCCCAGACUCCUACGGGAGGCAGCAGUGGGGAAUAUUGCACAAUGGGCGGAAGCCUGAUGCAGCAACGCCGCGUGCGGGAUGACGGCCUUCGGGUUGUAAACCGCUUUCGCCUGUGACGAAGCGUGAGUGACGGUAAUGGGUAAAGAAGCACCGGCUAACUACGUG
rnacentral:rRNA from 1 species